GUGCGCAAGCGCAAGAGCACCCUCUGCUUAUAUAAGGCGGUUCCGGGGCCGCGCUCGUUCUUUCGCCUUGGCGGCGCGUCCUCUUUUGUUAGGUGGUGUAAUCGUUUUAUAUCCGAUGUCGUCUUGCCCUGGGAACUCAGGUUUACUGCUGUGUACGGUUAGCGCUAUCACUGGGUGCAGAAUGGAUCUGGGACGAGGGGGUGACUGCUGGGCUUCCCGGGAAACCCGGUGUGGACAUCUGCAGUCUUCGGCCUCCUGGCCUCUGUGGUUUACAGUUGGCUGAAAGUGGACUUCUGAAUGGACCAGGAGUGGGGAAGGAUGGUGCAUCUGGCUUCUAAGUACCUGUGCCCACGAGACUGAAUAGAUACAGGCUUUGGAGUAGGGAAGAGGUCAGGAGCCAGGUGUGCACCCGGGCAGUGACUCAAGGUUGAUUGCAGCCUAAGCUUCAUGUCGGCCUGGUUCACGUGCUGUCCUCUAACAGACAGGAGUUUUUCAACUAUGGUGUUGGAAUACAAGGCCUCUUGAAAAAGGUUGACCCUGUGUUUUCCUGAGACAGUUGAUGGUUGUGAUUGAGUCAAUAUCAAGGCUAUUUUGUAACCUGAGGACUGCAGAAUUGAAAAGCUUGUGCCUGUUUUGAAGAAUCAAGGAUUAUUCUUAAAUUGGUGAAAUUUCUAGCAUUGUAGCCUAUCUGGAGAAAAAUAAAAAAAAUAUUUUAAAU